rnacentral:rRNA from 1 species
AGAGUUUGAUCCUGGCUCAGGAUGAACGCUGGCGGCAUGCCUAAUACAUGCAAGUCGAACGAGGAUCCUUCGGGAUCCUAGUGGCGAACGGGUGAGUAACACGUAGGGAACCUGCCCGCGCACCGGGAAUACGCUCUGGAAACGGAGAACAAAUCCCGAUGUACAGGAAGGAGGCAUCUUCUUUCUGUGAAACAUCCUGUAAGGGAUGGGGCGCGGAUGGACCUGCGGUGCAUUAGUUAGUUGGCGAGGGUAAAGGCCCACCAAGACGAUGAUGCAUAGCCGGCCUGAGAGGGCGGACGGCCACAUUGGGACUGAGACACGGCCCAGACUCCUGCGGGAGGCAGCAGUAGGGAAUUUUCGUCAAUGGGCGCAAGCCUGAACGAGCGAUGCCGCGUGAGUGGAGAAGGCCUUCGGGUCGUAAAGCUCUGUUGCGGGGGAAAAAAGGCAUCUGCAGGAAAUGGUAGAUGACAGAUGGUGCCCCGCCAGAAAGUCACGGCUAACUACGUGCCAGCAGCCGCGGUAAUACGUAGGUGGCGAGCGUUAUCCGGAAUGAUUGGGCGUAAAGGGUGCGCAGGCGGUCCUGCAAGUCUGGAGUGAAACGUAUGAGCUCAACUCAUGCAUGGCUCUGGAAACUGGAGGACUGGAGAGCAGGAGAGGGCGGUGGAACUCCAUGUGUAGCGGUAAAAUGCGUAGAUAUAUGGAAGAACACCAGUGGCGAAGGCGGCCGCCUGGCCUGUUGCUGACGCUGAGGCAUGAAAGCGUGGGGAGCAA